rnacentral:rRNA from 1 species
GCCCGCACAAGCGGUGGAGCAUGUGGUUUAAUUCGAAGCAACGCGAAGAACCUUACCAGGUCUUGACAUCCUUUGACCACUCUAGAGAUAGAGCUUUCCCUUCGGGGACAAAGUGACAGGUGGUGCAUGGUUGUCGUCAGCUCGUGUCGUGAGAUGUUGGGUUAAGUCCCGCAACGAGCGCAACCCUUAUUGUUAGUUGCCAUCAUUCAGUUGGGCACUCUAGCGAGACUGCCGGUGACAAACCGGAGGAAGGUGGGGAUGACGUCAAAUCAUCAUGCCCCUUAUGACCUGGGCUACACACGUGCUACAAUGGACGGUACAAUGAGUCGCAAGACCGCGAGGUUUAGCUAAUCUCUUAAAGCCGUUCUCAGUUCGGAUUGUAGGCUGCAACUCGCCUACAUGAAGCCGGAAUCGCUAGUAAUCGUGGAUCAGCACGCCACGGUGAAUACGUUCCCGGGCCUUGUACACACCGCCCGUCACACCACGAGAGUUUGUAACACCCAAAGUCGGUGAGGUAACCUU